ensembl:lncRNA
GACUUACUUUGCUUUCUAUACUUAAUUUCAUUUUGCUCCCCCUCAUUCAUUCUACAUGCCAACCAAACUGACUUAUUUGCUAUUCCCUGAAUAUAGCAUUUUUUCUCUUGCCCAGGCCUUUUCACAGGUCACCGUCUCCUCAGCUCUACCUCUUUACCUUUUGGGUUUUUGUUUUUUAACUUUACUUUUACUUUGUUUCUUCCUUUUAUUUUUUUUUUGAGGCUCUUCUCAAGUUUCACCUCUUACGGGAAACCUUUCCUAGAUGACCGUUCCCUAGUUAUCUAAUAUCUCUAGUUACUAAAAUAGUUCUAUUCCCUAAUUAUUCCCUAGAUAACUGUUCCCUAGUUAUCUAAUAUUCCUAGUUUUUAAUAUAGUUCUAUUCCCUAGUUAUUCCCCAGUUACUGUGUUCUCCAACUACUAAAGUUAUAUUGCAUUUACUUAUAAGCAUAGGUUUGUGUCUCCCCAACAAGUGGAAUGGGGCGUCUAAGCGGGGGCCUGUGUUUAUCUGUUCAUUUCUCUAUAGCCCCGCCCCCUGACGCAAUGUCUCUGGGCAUAAUAGGUGAACAAUAAAUGCUUCGUUCAUUGAAUUCUCUUGGCCUUUUGGCAUCCUUUGCUUAGAAGGGGCAAGAUCUUUGACCUCAAAUAUUGAGGAGCUGUUGGGUAGACGGCUGCAUUGUACGACUCAGUCCCAGCAGGCAAGCGGAUGAAUGAACAAUCAGAAGUUAUACAGAAACAGACGACAGCUACAGGAGAGGUUCUAUAAUACUUCUCAUAUCUUUCCCUCCCUUUGGCUGCCGUCUAAUCUUUACAAAGAAGAAAACAAUCAAGAGCAAGGAAUGAGCUUGGCAUCAAUGAUCUAUUCUUGUUUGAUAAUAUUCAUUUCUACUCUUCCUGUCCAUCUUCACUAACCCUUGCCCAGAGCCCAUAGACUCUUAUUCUUCCUUUCUUUUCUUUUGAAUACCUCUUGCAAACCACCCUGGGGUUGGAGUGUAUAUUGCUUAGGACCAAUCCUUCCCUACAUAUACCCUCCCUCUUAUUCUCCCUUUCUCAAACUCUUUCCUUGUUCCAACCACUUAAGCACAAAUAAUUUCUGCACUUGUGUGCAUAUGGUUGACAUAUACGUGUAUAUAUACAACAUUGUGCUCCUAGUAGCUGCUAGCAUGCGGCAGCGGCCACACCCCGGGCAACGGCUUUGACAGGCUGGCUAAACCUUGUGAGGGUAGCCAUCCGGUCGUCGACCCCUGGUGAACCAGGGCUUUGCUCACCCAGCAUGUGAAGACUGUUUCGGUGGAACAGGUGGAAGAAACCAACAAGAAGGUUCAACGGCUGAGAUGGCGAUGCAGCAAGGCACUGUGGAGUGCUUAGGGCGUGUUGGAGCACAAAAGACAACACGGCCAUCCAAUGCAGCUGAGGAAGUCUCCAGGUGUAACGACUUUUCGUGCCAAUGGACCCAGGCUUCCAAUGCCGAGAGAGUGGGACUGUCUCUGUGCAUCGACUUUUCCACUUAAAUCUUCAUGCACAGGUGUCUUUGUGCACAAAAAUGCACAAAGACAAUCGUCAUC